UGGAUCUGUGUGACGACGUCUUGUGCUU
rnacentral:piRNA from 1 species